rnacentral:rRNA from 1 species
CAGCAGCCGCGGGAAUACAGAGGGUGCGAGCGUUAAUCGGAUUUACUGGGCGUAAAGCGUGCGUAGGCGGCUUCUUAAGUCGGAUGUGAAAUCCCUGAGCUUAACUUAGGAAUUGCAUUCGAUACUGGGAAGCUAGAGUAUGGGAGAGGAUGGUAGAAUUCCAGGUGUAGCGGUGAAAUGCGUAGAGAUCUGGAGGAAUACCGAUGGCGAAGGCAGCCAUCUGGCCUAAUACUGACGCUGAGGUACGAAAGCAUGGGGAGCAAACAGGAUUAGAUACCCCAGUAGUCCCUGUCCUUAUACA